AACGAACGCUGGCGGCAGGCCUAACACAUGCAAGUCGAACGUGAAGCUGGAGCUUGCUCCAGUGGAAAGUGGCAGACGGGUGAGUAACGCGUGGGAAUCUACCCAAUGGUACGGAAUAACUCAGGGAAACUUGUGCUAAUACCAUAUGAGCCCUUCGGGGGAAAGAUUUAUCGCCAUUGGAUGAGCCCGCGUUAGAUUAGUUUGUUGGUGGGGUAAUGGCCUACCAAGACUACGAUCUAUAGCUGGUCUGAGAGGAUGAUCAGCCACACUGGGACUGAGACACGGCCCAGACUCCUACGGGAGGCAGCAGUGGGGAAUAUUGCACAAUGGGCGCAAGCCUGAUGCAGCCAUGCCGCGUGAGUGAAGAAGGCCUUAGGGUUGUAAAACUCUUUCACCGGUGAAGAUAAUGACGGUAGCCGGAGAAGAAGCCCCGGCUAACUCCGUG
rnacentral:rRNA from 1 species